AGAGUUUGAUCCUGGCUCAGAACGAACGCUGGCGGCAUGGCUAAGACAUGCAAGUCGUACGAACCGUUUUUCGGAAUGGUUAGUGGCGAACGGGAGAGUAAUGCAUAGGUAAUGUACCCUGAACACCGGGAUAACCACGGGCUUGCCCUUUGCGAAAGUGUGGCUAAUACCGGAUGAAGUCGUCGGAGCGCAUGUUCUGACGACCAAAGGUGGGGACCUUCGGGCCUGCCGGUUUUGGAUCAGCCUAUGUCCUAUCAGCUUGUUGGUGGGGUAAUGGCCUACCAAGGCAUCGACGGGUAGCGGGCGUGAGAGCGUGGCCCGCCUCAUCGGGACUGAGACACUGCCCGGACACCUACGGGCGGCUGCAGUAACGAAUAUUGGGCAAUGGGCGAAAGCCUGACCCAGCAAUGCCGCGUGCAGGAGGAAGCCCCUCGGGGUGUAAACUGCUGUCAGGGUUUAGCAAGCAAGGGACGUCAAUAGCGCCCGGCGCUGAGCAGACCCAAAGGAAGUCUCGGCUAACUCUGUGCCAGCAGCCGCGGUAAGACAGAGGAGGCAAGCGUUGUUCGGAAUUACUGGGCUUAAAGAGCGCGUAGGCGGCUUGGUAAGCGUCCCGUGAAAGCCCUCGGCUCAACCGAGGAACUGCGGGGCGAACUGCCUGGCUUGAGUUUGGUAGAGGUGCCUGGAACGCUAGGUGGAGCGGUGAAAUGCGUAGAUAUCUAGCGGAACGCCAGAUGCGAAAGCGGGGCACUGGGCCAAUACUGACGCUGAGGCGCGAAAGCGUGGGGAGCAAACAGGAUUAGAUACCCUGGUAGUCCACGCCGUAAACGAUGCACACUAGAUCUGGGAGCCUCUGACGGUGCCCGGGUCCAAGGGAAACCGUUAAGUGUGCCGCCUGGGGACUACGGCCGCAAGGCUAAAACUCAAAGGAAUUGACGGGGGCUCACACAAGCGGUGGAGCAUGUGGCUUAAUUCGAAACAACGCGAAGAACCUUACCCAGGUUUGACAUGCUUGGAUGCUACCCGGGGAUAACUCGGGAUGCUGCCCUUCGGGGUGAAACUUGCACAGGUGUUGCAUGGCUGUCGUCAGCUCGUGCUGUGAAGUGUCUGGUUAAGUCCCUUAACGAGCGAAACCCCUAUCGCUAGUUGCCAGCGAGUCAAGUCGGGGACUCUAGCGAGACUGCCGGCGUUAAGCCGGAGGAAGGUGGGGACGACGUCAAGUCAUCAUGGCCUUUAUGCCUGGGGAUGCACACGUGCUACAAUGGCGAGUACAGAUCGAUGCGAUACCGCGAGGUGGAGCAAAUCGCAAAAAACUCGCCCCAGUUCGGAUUGGAGUCU
rnacentral:rRNA from 1 species